rnacentral:lncRNA from 1 species
CUUCCCUUCAGGAUGGGGCCACGCAUAAUCCAGAGUGCAGUGCAUCAGCCUAUAGAGGGCGCUCUUAAGUAUCAUAGCCAGAUGUGUUUGCUUAAAGAGGAAACAUCUUUAAGAAGUGAAAGCUGAAGAAUGGGGCCUAAGAUCAAACUUCAAGGUGUUGGUGGCCUAAACGCCUGCCAUCAAAGUAACACAACAGAAUGAUAACUUGUGCCUAAGUUGAUAUUUGCAGCCACUACCUCACUCAGGAUGCUUUGUUUUUAUCAUUUCAAAAUACUCAAGUCCUUGCCCAAGCUGGGCAAAAGUGUCCAGUGGUGUCAAAACAAAGCAAAGCAGACCGGAGAGCCUCCUGCCAGAAAGAUGCAUUUACCUUCACCAAAAACAUCAUCCUCUUCAUCGACCAGGAGCUCCUCAGCAUCAAAAAACUGCAUCUUGGAGAGGACAGGCGCGAGAAGCAGCAGGCAGCAGCCCCGGCAGUCUCAGCAGUCACACUGCCGACCGAGGUGAUUUCCUUUCCUUGGGUUGCCCAAGCCCUCUGGAGGGCAGCUUCCGCAUCUGCCCUGAAGAAAGCAGUUUCAUUCAUAUGAAUAGGCUUCUUGAGCCUUGUGAAGAGUGAAUCCCAGGUGGGGUAAUUCUCACCACUGAGGAGAAAGAAUUUUUUGAAGAGGGCUGCAGAUCCGGUUGGAUAUGAAUACAGAUAUC